rnacentral:rRNA from 1 species
UUUAUAUGAGAGUUUGAUCCUGGCUCAGGAUGAACGCCGGCGGUGUGCCUAAUACAUGCAAGUCGAGCGCACUGGCCCAACUGAUAUGACGUGCUUGCACUGAAUUGACGUUGGAUUCCCAGUGAGCGGCGGACGGGUGAGUAACACGUGGGCAACCUGCCCUGAAGCGGGGGAUAACAUCUGGAAACAGGUGCUAAUACCGCAUAACAACGAAAACCACAUGGUUUUCGUUUCAAAGAUGGUUUCGGCUAUCACUUCAGGAUGGGCCCGCGGUGCAUUAGCUAGUUGGUAAGGUAACGGCUUACCAAGGCGAUGAUGCAUAGCCGAGUUGAGAGACUGAUCGGCCACAAUGGAACUGAGACACGGUCCAUACUCCUACGGGAGGCAGCAGUAGGGAAUCUUCCACAAUGGGCGCAAGCCUGAUGGAGCAACACCGCGUGAGUGAAGAAGGGUUUCGGCUCGUAAAGCUCUGUUGUUGGAGAAGAACGUGCGUGAGAGUAACUGUUCACGCAGUGACGGUAUCCAACCAGAAAGUCACGGCUAACUACGUGCCAGCAGCCGCGGUAAUACGUAGGUGGCAAGCGUUAUCCGGAUUUAUUGGGCGUAAAGCGAGCGCAGGCGGUU